rnacentral:rRNA from 1 species
UACGGGGGGGGCAAGCGUUGUUCGGAAUUACUGGGCGUAAAGGGCUCGUAGGCGGCCAACUAAGUCAGACGUGAAAUCCCUCGGCUUAACCGGGGAACGGCCUCUGAUACUGGCUGGCUGGAGUUCGGGAGAGGGAUGCGGAAUUCCAGGUGUAGCGGUGAAAUGCGUAGAGAUCCGGAGGAACCCCAGAGGCGAAGGCGGCGCCCUGGCUCGCAACUGACGCUCAGACACGACAGCAUGGGGAGCGAACGGG